AAGGGAAGCUCAGCAGAUGGUUCUUUUGUGAAGCCGGGGACCAGCCAGCAAAACUUGAGUUCAUUCCAAUCUCAGGCAGUUCAGAGUGAGGCAGGAAAGAAUUUCACGGAGAUGGAAGGAAGGUGUUCUUCAGAUUUGUAUAGGAAACCAAGUGAAGAGUUGUUCUUGAAAUCCUUGAUGGAGAGCUCGAUUGGAAUGCCAGUGCCAACCAUGGAAAUGUUGGGUUUCAAGAAUCUUUCCCAAUUGGGUUUUGCAAAAUCUUCGUACAGAUAGCGAAGAACUCUUCAAAACUUGGCUCACAAAUGGAGAGGCAAGCCAUUGUACUAUCUUCUUUUGUUGACUUUGUUUCUUAAUCCAUGUUUGUAACUUCUUUGCUCAAUCAAAGUCAUAUGCAUGCAUAGUGCAAGCCAAUGCCAUAUUGGAGAAUCGUGCGAAUAGUGGUUGAUCAUUGUAACGUUGUUAAUUGUUAACAUGAUGGUAGCUUGUUUGAUCAAGGAGCUACAAGCAUACUUUGAAGUCUUAUAACCUUUGCAUUACCUGAUUUUGUUUUAUUCUAGAUUAUUAUAGUCUAAUAUCUCAAUGAACUUUAUUUAAUCGGAGGUUUCCUGUUUGGAGUUGAAAAUUUCUGUGUAGUUUAGGCAUCAGAAGUUCUAUUAUUUGAAACUGAGAAACAGUCAGCAUUAACAUGUUUCUUUGAUCAUGUAGUGUCAUAAGUUUGUGACUUGUGGAUUUAUCUUACUUUCUACUUUUGGGUUUGAACAGAGAAUUCUUAUAUUCAUCUUUUGUGAUAGAAUUCAAAAGCAUGAACUAGCCACAGUUCAAAGUCAUAACUUAUAAAAGUUAGAAUUAACAAUCAUCUCAUUGCUUCACAUUUUAUAAAUCCCAGGAGCCAGUUAUGAUACUAUAGACUGUCCUAUCAUUUUCUUUUUCAAUUGUUAAUUUUAUGCAUAGCUGGAAAUUUUUUUUAAUUUGACUAUAACAAAAGCAAUUUGUUAAUGAAAAUCAAAUAAUUGAACCUACGUUUGACAAUUGUCUUGCGAACAGUCCCUUGUUUAACAGAAUGAAAUAUGAAUGCUUCUGGUAACUUUUACCAAAUCAGAAAUCAGUGGAAAUGAUUGAAAUGCCUAUAUUUAUGUUUUGUCCUAAUUGGUUCUUUUUCUUUUGUGAUAUUGUGUUAAAUUGUCUGAUUGUUCUUUGCUAGCCCCUUCUCAAAUUGUUGUUUUUCUCAGUCGAUAUAUUUUUUGUUUUCUAGAACCAUGGCUAUAAUUCAACAAGCAUAGUACAUUGUACUCGACACACAUCACAAAGGUUAGUUGGUCACAGUACUAAAAUUUCACAUUUGUUCAUAGGGUCUACUGAUCUAUUACCCACUGUAAUUAUUUAUAAGACUGCUCACUGUAUUUGCGAUGUAGAAUAGUGGCUCUUCCCACCCCUUCUUUUGCAAAGAUCUUCAUGCCUUUUGCAUGCAAAUAUUUGUAGUUGUAAUAGUAGUGUUAGUGGCAGUGGUAGUAAUUGAAGGGACGAUGUUGAGGAUGCUUGCCAUUCUAGUAUGCAUAGCAACAAAAGUGCUUCAAUCUCCCUAAUCUCUCUCUCUCUCUCUCAGCCUGUACGUACUCUCAUAUGCGUGAGACUAUAGCUUUUACUGUACAAUAAUGGCAUGUCUCGGAACUCCUUUUUAAACAGAUUGAUUGGUGGGUAUUCUAUGCGGAGAUGAAUAGUUGGUCCAAUUAGCAAGAACCAGAUUUUGUUAUACCACCAACUUCUUUCGACAAGUAAACAUGUUAAAUGUAGGAAGCCCGCAGAAUUAGCCGGCUCAUCUGGUCAGCAACUUGGGGGUGUACUUCAGAGGAAACGAAGCAACAACAAUUUAUUCCCAUAAAAUACUGCUUUCGUUGAUGAACAGUCAAGUGAUCUGAAUCAAAAUUCAAUUAGGAAUGUGGUUGAAAGAGGGUUGCAAGCUAGUAAUCUCUAUUUGGCUAAGGCAUGGUUUCAUAGUUCUCAACCAAUGACAAGAAGUCGGUCCUCUGAAUUACGGAGGAGGUAUGUUUCCAUGCAGAACUCUCAAACAUCACUUGGUGUGGAAGCCAUGCAUAAUGUAUCUGGGCACAGUGUCAAAAAUUUGAGACAGGAAUUUGCAAAUCCAAAUGGAUUUGGUGAUGCCUUCAAUGUGUGAAAUUCCCAACCACUUUAACACAUUUAUGUUGCCAUCCAAUUCAGCUUCAUCUACUUUCAAUGCCCCUCAUACCGAUGACAUAGACAAAGUUUCCUCUGUUGUGAGCAUGCUGAAGGGGACAUUAGAACACAAGAAGCUUAAUAACGAGACUGUUGAAGAUAGCUCCUUGGAACUUAGGGUAGACUAGUAGUUAUAUUUUUGGAUGGGUGUGUAUAGAAAAUAUUUGGUAGACUACUAGUACUAUUUUUCGGUUGAUGCACAUGGAUAAAAAUUUAAAACAUAAUAACAAGUACUUGUUAUGUUUUAAAUUUUAUGCUAGAUGAAAUAUGUAGUUUGGAAUUAUUUGUGGAUGAAAACUUAUAAUAGUUGCUG